ensembl:lncRNA
CUUAUCCCUGAGGCACCCUCACCCUUUCCUGGGUGAACAUCUGUGAGGCACCUUUGACCACCCUGAGGCUGAGUGAGAAACCAGUCCUGAUGUUCUCCUUGCUCCCAGCUUUGCUGCCUGAAUGUGGAGCUCUGCCCGUCUUCUCAUCUCCAGGGUUCUCUGAGUUUAGACUCUCAUUCCCAUUAGUCUAGGAGCUUCAAGAGGGCAGAAGGCAUAUCUUAAUUGAUGCAUGUUCCCAGAGACAAGCUAAAAACCCUAAAGGAUUUAAUGGUACUGAACUACAGCAAGGGAACUGAGCGCUCAGUUAAAGUUGCAGGUAUUGUCCCUUGGAUCCAUCAUACGAGGGUGAAGAGAACAUACCAUGCAGACCCAAAAAAUGCUGAGUGGACAGCACCGAGGGACCCUGCUGACCCUCGAGGGACUAAGACCAUCCUUAAGAAGAAGGAAAAGAAGAUCCUGGACGAGCCCCUUCAGGAUGAAGCCGCACAAUCAACUCCUGCUGCUUGGCCUCAUCAACAUGAUUUUGAAUUGAACUUCUGUUUCAACUCAGGACAAUGUUUUCAUCUCAUGGGCACAUUCCUACGCAGACUUCCACAACACUUCCAAGUGCUGGGUAUGUAGGGCUAUGCCUCUCUCAGUCAUGGAUGGACUUCCUUGGUGGGUGUCACCGCUCUGACAAGGAGAUUUUAAACCACUCUGCUCUUUCUGGGAUGACAAGAAUAGACUUUCCUCUCUUGUCAAUCAUAACCUCUCCUUGCUCUCUUGGUGUAAGACCUAUAGUCAAUAGACUUGGGUCAUGGGGUUACAUUUGAUAUAAAUGCCAGUGUAAAAAAAAGCCUAACCUACUUGUUGUAAAUCUACCCCAGUAACCCCAGUAAAUCUACUUUAUUUACAUGCUAGGUGGACAAGAUCCGUGUUUCAAUGAUAUGAGUAUCAGAUCAGUUCAGUCACUCAGUCAUGUCCGACUCUUUGCGACCCCAUGAAUCGCAGCACACCAGGCCUCCCUGUCCAUCACCAACUCCCAAAGUUCACUCAGACUCAUGUCCAUCAAGUCAGUGAUGCCAUCUAGCCAUCUCAUCCUCUGUCAUCCCCUUCUCCUCCUGCUCCCAAUCCCUCCCAGCAUCAGAGUCUUUUCCAAUGAGUCAACUCUUUGCAUGAGGUGGCCAAAGUACUGGAGCUUCAGCUUUAGCAUCAUUCCUUCCAAAGAAAUCCCAGGGCUGAUCUCCUUCAGAAUGGACUGGUUGGAUCUCCUUGCAGUCCAAGGGACUCUCAAGAGUCUUCUCUAACACCACAGUUCAAAAGCA